UAACAUGAAACCGGAAAUACCUUGUAUGAAAAUUUGAAUUGACCAACUUAAUGAUUUGUGUAUGUAGAGCUAUUAUAAUUUUAAGGGUUGAUACACUUUCUGAUAAUUUAUUUUUCCUUUCAGAUAUGGUAUUGUUAUCUUCUCUGGAAUUGAUGGUUAUUCAUGAAAGAUAAUGUACCUGGGUUCUGCGAAUAAUAACAAGGCAUCAACAGCACUUGGCUUCUUCAUGAGCUCAGUUGAAAAGUUUGGCUUUCCAUUAAGAGUUAGAGGAGACCAAGGGGUCGAAAAUGUCGGCAUUGCUCAAUACAUGUUCACUAUUCGUGGCUGUGGCAGAGCAAGCUACACAUCUGGGAAAAGUGUGCAUAA